rnacentral:lncRNA from 12 species
CCCGCUUAGUGGAGGAUGACUGGUCUUAGGAGAGGCAUUUAGGAGGCCACUCAUGUGAUGGGAUUUUCCUCCUGCCUGGAUGAGUCACCAAAAACCCCAAGAUGAUGACUGCAUCAAAGAAGCCAGUGCUCUGAAAUAGCACACAGUGA